rnacentral:lncRNA from 1 species
AUGAAUCGCAGCACGCCAAGCCUGCUAUGUGUCUGGAUGAACACAAAUCUGGACUCUCAAACUGUUCUCUGCACGUUCAGUUUUCUUUUCACUGAGAUGCACUUUCAGUUUUCUUCCUUUUAUCUUUUCUGCAGCCAAUCGAGACGCUGCAGCCCAGCCUGUUUAUCUUGUGAGCUGCAGAGGCACUCACAGCCCUGCUGCGGCUCCGUCCCCGGUGAUUGCAUCUCUCCUAGGUGGGUGUUAAAGGACGGGACCAGACGACCAGAACCAUGGGAGGAAGAGCAGGCAGGCUGCAGGAGAGGAAGGAGGAAGGAACCACAGGAGAGGGUGUGGCGUGAGGCCGAUGGAAACCACAGCUAUCUGUUGGGCAGGAAAGAGAAACCAGAUACAGCUUCCUGGGCAAUGGAACUUCAGAGACAAGCACAGAGUUUGCUGGCAACUCCAGGAGGCUGAAGCCACCAUUCCCGCAGCCUUUGGGGAUUGCCACACGCUGGCCAGUGAAAACCCAUCGCCCUGUGGUGUGCUAAACCCACCACAAAGAGAAAACACCGAGACAGAGUAAUCAAGACCAGUUUUGAUUGGAGAAGAUGAUGAUGUCGGUGAAUGCUUAAUAAUGAAAACAUAUCCAGAUGGGACAAAUGGUAAGAUUAGAAUUCUGUCAGUAGAUUUAUGGGCAAAAUACAGGUCACACUAAAAUGUUUCUCUGCAUGAAAAGUUUAUGGCUAUUUAAAAUUUUGUUCAAGUUUAACAAAUUUUAAAAUUUUAUUUCAUACUUAAAAAUAACAAGCAUGUUAUUUUCAUAUUUAGAAGACAUUAUUCUCUUAAAAAUUAUUUAUUUAUUUAUUUGGCUGUGCUGGGUCUUAGUUUCAGCAUGUGGGAUCUAGUCCCUCACCAGGGAUUGAACUCAGGCCCUUGUAUUGGGAGUUUGGAGUCUUAGCCACCGGACCACUAGGGACGUCCUGACAUUAUUCUCUUCUGAUUGGUUUCAGUGAACUUGAAUAGGAAGAUGAUCUUUCAUUGUCUGGGAUUUAAAGUUUUCUUCAGUAAUAAUAGCUCUGAUAGGCAUCACCAUUUACUAAACGCUUACCACCUACUGAGCACUUACUAUAUGCACCGUGUCAUCUAAUCCUUAGCAACCCCUACAGGGCAGGUCUAACUCAUGCCCAUUUUAACAAAUGAGGCAAUGGAUUCAGAUAGUAAGAAAUUUACCUAAGGUAAUAAAAUAGCUAGUGACUCUGCCAAGGACUUGACUCAGGUAAUGCCUUGACUUAAUCUCUUUGCUAUUAAUAGUCCAAAUAUAUAUAACAUGCAUCACUAUAAGCUACAUUUUUAAAACUUCAGGUUUUUAAAUUAAUUUUUAAAUUUCAGUAUAGCUGAUUUUACAAUGUUGUGCCAAUCUCUGCUAUAUGGCAAAAUAACUCAGUUAUAUACAUAUAGACAUUCUUUUUUAUAUUCUUUUCCAUUAUGGUUUAUCCCAAGAUAUUGACUAUAACUUCUGUGCUGUACAGAGCCUUAUUGUUUAUCUGUCCUAUGUAUAAAAGUUUGCAUCUACUAAUCCUACACCUUCCCUCCUCACCCCACUUUCGCUUAGCAACUACAGGUCUGCUCUCUAGGUAUAUGAGUCUAUAAAACUUCAAGUUUUAGUUCAUUUUACACUUUAGUAAUUUUCUCUACUUUCUAUGAAAUACUGCAUUUCACUUAGUAAUGACAAAAAUCAGUUCCAGGGAUGAAGUUGAUCACUUUGUAAUUCAGCUAUCCUCACUUUUAAAAACAGGCCUGUGCAAAUAUGUGCUCUGUAAGAACCAAACAUACACAACCCCACAUCUGUAAAGGAUUAUGUAUAAAUUAGCAGCUGCCCGCUGCAUGAACAGGACCAAGUGUCUAGGAUGAAAACACGACUGUUACUUAAAUUUAAUUAUAACAUCUGUCUGUAACAACAAGCUCACAGUCUUUCUUCUCUGGUGACAGGCAAGUUGUGAGAUUUGAGGAAGAUUGAACAAGUCCAAUAAAAUGUAAUAGCAGCGACAGCUUUACUCUUAGAUCCAACACAAAAAAUUGCGAUUUCCGUGCGAGGAAAUAAUCUAAUGAAAAUUAUUAAAAAAAUCUACACCAGGAAAGGAAUCAUUCCAGUUAUCGAAGAAAAAUUAUUACAUGUGAUGACAGCCCGAAUGAGUUUCUAUUUGGAUUUGCAGAACAAACUUUCAAGUCUGUGGGGGCACUCCUUUUUCUGGAGGCUGUGAGGGCUGGCUUUAGCGGUGAGUUGAUUGUUUUGCCCAGGUAGAGUGUGUACCUAAUUCCAGGAACUGGGCCAA